rnacentral:rRNA from 1 species
UACGGAGGGGGGCUAGCGUUGUUCGGAAUUACUGGGCGUAAAAGCGCACGUAGGCGGCUUUUGUAAGUUAGAGGUGAAAAGCCCCAGGGGCUCAACCCUGGAAUUGCCUUUUAAGACUGCAUCGCUAGAAUUGUGGAGAGGUAAGUGGAAUUCCGAGUGUAGAGGGUGAAAAUUCGUAGAUAUUCGGAAAGAACACCAGUGGCGAAGGGCGACUUACUGGACACAUAUUGACGCUGAGGUGCGAAAAGCGUGGGGGGAGCAAACAGGG